rnacentral:rRNA from 1 species
GGGUCAGUAGGUCGGUCGUGCCACUGGUAUGAACUGGUUUUACUGAUUCCUCCCUCUUGAAGAACUGUAAUGCCAUUAAUUUGGUGUUGCAGGGAAUCAGGACUGUUACUUUGAAAAAAUUAGAGUGUUUAAAGCAGGCUUUAGCUUGAAUACAUUAGCAUGGAAUAAUAAAAUAGGACGUUUGAUCCUAUUUUGUUGGUUUCUAGGAUUGACGUAAUGAUUAAUAGGGAUAGUUGGG